rnacentral:rRNA from 1 species
UACAGAGGGUGCAAGCGUUAAUCGGAAUUACUGGGCGUAAAGCGUGCGUAGACGGUUAUUUAAGUCGGGUGUGAAAGCCCCGGGCUCAACCUGGGAAUUGCGUUGGAGACUGCAAGGCUGGAGUCUGGCAGAGGGGGGUAGAAUUCCACGUGUAGCAGUGAAAUGCGUAGAGAUGUGGAGGAACACCGAUGGCGAAGGCAGCCCCCUGGGUCAAGACUGACGCUCAUGCACGAAAGCGUGGGGAGCAAACAGG